rnacentral:rRNA from 1 species
CAGCCGCCGCGGUAAUACGUAGGGCGCAAGCGUUGUCCGGAAUUAUUGGGCGUAAAGAGCUCGUAGGCGGUCUGUCGCGUCUGGUGUGAAAUCCCGAGGCUCAACCUCGGGCUUGCAUCGGGUACGGGCAGACUAGAGUGCGGUAGGGGAGACUGGAAUUCCUGGUGUAGCGGUGGAAUGCGCAGAUAUCAGGAGGAACACCGAUGGCGAAGGCAGGUCUCUGGGCCGCAACUGACGCUGAGGAGCGAAAGCAUGGGGAGCGAACAGGAUUAGAUACCCCAGUAGUCCCUGUCUCUUAUAC